CGGAGGAAAAGAAACCAACAGGGAUUGCCUCAGUAACGGCGAGUGAAGCGGCAAAAGCUCAAAUUUUAAAGCUGGCAUCUUCGGUGUCCGCGUUGUAAUUUUGUGAGGCAUCUCCGGGUAGGGCGCCGGCCUAAGUUCCUUGGAACAGGACGUCAUAGAGGGUGAGAAUCCCGUGCUUGGCUGGCUGUCCCCGUCCAUGUGAGGUGUCUUCGACGAGUCGAGUUGUUUGGGAAUGCAGCUCAAAAUGGGUGGUAAAUUUCAUCUAAAGCUAAAUAUUGGUGGGAGACCGAUAGCGCACAAGUAGAGUGAUCGAAAGAUGAAAAGCACUUUGAAAAUAGAGUUAAAAAGUACGUGAAAUUGUUGAAAGGGAAGCGCUUGAGACCAGACUUCGGUAGGGAGUGAUCAGCUGUCCUUCUGGGCGGUGCACUUGCUCCCCUCCGGGCCAGCAUCGGUUGGGACGGCGGGAUAAAGGUCCCGGGAAUGUGGCUCCUUUCGGGGAGUGUUAUAGCCCGGGUGAAUGCCGCCAGCCCCGACCGAGGACCGCGCCUUCGGGCUAGGAUGCUUGGCAUAAUGGUCUUCAGCGACCCG
rnacentral:rRNA from 1 species